CAAAAACACAUGAAAGUGUAAGUGGGUUUUAAGAUGAAAUUUUGUGAUUAAAAGGUUUUACUUCAAAUUUGGCAUAAAACCAACCAAAAUAUGAUGAAAAACAACAAUUUAAGUCAAGAAAUCAAUGAAAUAUCAUCAAAAUAAGUAUCAAUACAUUUAUUUUCCUUAUAAAUAUUAAUAUUAACUUAUUUUAGAUCAACUUCUAUGUGUAGCAGACAUUUGAAGAUUAUUGCUGGCAAUAUAGCAGUAAAAACGUGCAGCUUUCACAUCCUGUUGCACUUCCAAUCAAAUUACAAAUUACGCCGUGUUAUCCAGCGAUAUACGCCCCGAUGCAUAAGUUAGGAUAGAGGAUAUCCAACACCAAAGUUGCACGAGAUGACGCCCUGACGCAAGUCGGUGUUGUUGCGAAGUGCUCGGCAAACAAGCUCCCGAACGCUAUCGCCGCCACCCAUGUUUAGACAACGCCACUCGAAAUUCUAUUUCCUAGGACAGCGCGCAACUCGCAAGAUCUUCUCUCGCCGAAGCCUCAAGCUGCCGGCAGCGAAUCUCCGCGCGCGCGUAGGUUAAAUAUCUUGGAAGUAAUCCGGGCGACACGCGUAAGAAUUCGAACAAUGCGCGCGUUUGACAAAUGAGGACUUAACUUUGGCCUCUCAAAAACUAGUCAUAAAAUAGGGUUAUAGCAGUCGCGCCUUGCACGAGCGGAGAAGGAAAUUAGGGAGUUUUGGGACAAGUACGUCGAUCUUCUUCGCGCGUCGUUUGCAACGUCGAGAUUGUCAUGAGAUUGUCGGCAGAUUUUCGGCGUGUAACAAGCGACAAAGCUGGAGGGUUAGCGGGUUAACUAGUAGCUAAUGUCGUGCUUCCGCAAACGCCCCCGCACGAACAACCAAGUACAACCAAGUGUUGAUGAAGUGCGAGUUUAAGCCACGAGUUUAAACUAAAAAUUUUAUUUUCUGUAACGCAAAUUUGUAGUUUUAUAAAUGUGGUGUUUUAUUUUUAUUUUUGACAAUUUAUCAUAGCGUUUUGGUAGUGGAGGCGCCGGGCAAUAAAGUGGUCUACUUUAUAGGCGGUCGUCGGCGGUCGUUAGAUUAAACGUUGAUAAAUUUUUACGACGGCGAACACGGACACGCAAUUUCAGUUAAACAUUAUUGUUGGAAGUUUGCCUCGACACCCCUCGUGGUCCGCGAGCGCCAGCGUAGGCGAUUUAAUAGCUCCGCGCGCGCGUUCUGAAGAUUUCCACGUUUGAUAAUUUUAUUCGCCGCGCAAGCCAAGCAGCUGUGCAGCGCGCGGUUAUAAAUAGAGAAAGAAAACGAAAAAAAGCCGAAGAAAUAAAUGGUUGACAUAA